GCAGUGUCCAGAUGUCCAAAGCUGAUUGAGACCUAUCCACACAGACUCAGGGCUGCAAUUGUUGCCCAAAGUGCAUCUACUAAAUAGUGAGUUGAAGGGGAUAUUGUUUGCCCCGCUGAGUUCCUCCAGGAUUUUGCAUGUGUUACUUUCCAGCAUCUACAAAACCUUGUGUUUAUGAGAUGCUCCAUACGAGUUACCGUACAGGUCUCAGUGCACACGUUUUAGAUUCUCUUCUCCAGUGAAGUACAGAUGGUGGACUGCAUUGUUAGAGGGUCAUCUCUUAGAAGAAAGGUAAAUCUUGUUUAUCUUCUACAGAGUAUAUUUUAAAAAAAUAGUACUGCUUCAAAAAGUGGGGAGUUCUCCCCAGUCCCCUGGCCAACUCUGCACUGAUGAGAUAGUUUCCACAAAGUAAGGGUCUGCAAAUGGACUUCACUGGUUACAAAGUCCUUUGAUACAUACUGCAGUCAUGAAAGUCCUUGUGUGUAUAUAUUCUUUCUUCUUGAAAGCACCUUCUUCAAUACAUACAAUACAUUUUUGCAAAGGCUGAGGAAAGUCUAUCUCCCACCCCCCAUCCUCAUCACAUUCUGCAGGGGCUGUAUUGAGAGCGUCCUGAGCAGCUGCAUCACUGCCUGGUUCGGAAAUUGUACCAUCUCGGAUCGCAAGACCCUGCAGCGGAUAGUGAGGUCAGCUGAGAAGAUCAUCGGGGUCUCUCUUCCCCCCAUCACGGACAUUUACACCACACGCUGCAUCCACAAAGCAAACAGCAUUAUGAAGGACCCCAUGCACCCAUCCUGCCAUCUGGGAAAAGGCUCCAAAGCAUUCGGGCUCUUACGACCAGACUAUGUAACAAUUUCUUCCCCCAAGCUA